AUUGAACGCUGGCGGCAUGCCUUACACAUGCAAGUCGAACGGCAGCGGGGGAGAAGCUUGCUUUUCCUGCCGGCGAGUGGCGAACGGGUGAGUAAUACAUCGGAACGUGCCCUGUAGUGGGGGAUAACUAGUCGAAAGAUUAGCUAAUACCGCAUACGACCUGAGGGUGAAAGUGGGGGACCGCACGGCCUCAUGCUAUAGGAUCGGCCGAUGUCUGAUUAGCUAGUUGGGGGGGUAAAGGCCUACCAAGGCGACGAUCAGUAGCUGGUCUGAGUGGACGAUCAGCCACACUGGGACUGAGACACGGCCCAGAAUCCUACGGGAGGCAGCAGUGGGGAAUUUUGGACAAUGGGCGAAAGCCUGAUCCAGCAAUGCCGCGUGUGUGAAGAAGGCCUUCGGGUUGUAAAGCACUUUUGUCCGGAAAGAAAUGGCUCUGGUUAAUACCUGGGUCGAUGACGGUACCGGAAGAAUAAGGACCGGCUAACUACGUGCCAGCCGCCGCGGUAA
rnacentral:rRNA from 1 species